CCUACGGUGAGCAGCAGUGGGGAAUAUUGCACAAUGGGGGAAACCCUGAUGCAGCGACGCCGCGUGAGCGAUGAAGUAUUUCGGUAUGUAAAGCUCUAUCAGCAGGGAAGAAGAUGACGGUACCUGACCAAGAAGCCCCGGCUAACUACGUGCCAGCAGCCGCGGUAAUAUGUAGGGGGCAAGCGUUAUCCGGAUUUACUGGGUGUAAAGGGAGCGUAGACGGCAGGGCAAGUCUGGAGUGAAAGGCGGGGGCUCAACCCCCGGACUGCUCUGGAAACUGCCAGGCUGGAGUGCAGGAGAGGUAAGUGGAAUUCCUAGUGUAGCGGCGAAAUGCGUAGAUAUUAGGAGGAACACCAGUGGCGAAGGCGGCUUACUGGACUGUAACUGACGUUGAGGCUCGAAAGCGUGGGGAGCAAACAGGAUUAGAUACCCUAGUAGUC
rnacentral:rRNA from 1 species